rnacentral:lncRNA from 1 species
AGAUCUAGACUGAGCGCCCAGCUUCAAAUGGCCCAGCUCUGGCCAGGUACUAGGAGCAUUUGAGAAGUACACAUACAGAUCGCAUUCCCCCAUCCCCACCCUCUGUGUUUCUGUCUCUCAAAACUUUUAAAGUAACAUUGAAUUCUUUAUUUUUCUAUUAUUGUAUUUUGAGGUUUUUAUGCAUUCUGAACACAGGUUUUUUUUUUUUUUUUUAAAUUUUUAUUUUAAAAUAUGUUAUCUCAUAAACUAAAUAAAAAAAAGAA